rnacentral:rRNA from 1 species
UACGGAGGGUGCGAGCGUUGUCCGGAAUCACUGGGCGUAAAGGGCGCGUAGGCGGCCUGAUAAGUAGGGGGUGAAAUCCUGCGGCUUAACCGCAGGGCUGCCUUCUAGACUGUCAGGCUAGAGCACAGUAGAGGCAGGUGGAAUUCCCGGUGUAGCGGUGGAAUGCGUAGAGAUCGGGAAGAACAUCAGUGGCGAAGGCGGCCGGCUGGGCGUGAUCUGACGCUGAGGCGCGAAAGCGUGGGGAGCAAACCGG